GUGGGGAAUAUUGGACAAUGGGCGAAAGCCUGAUCCAGCCAUGCCGCGUAUGUGAAGAAGGUCUUCGGAUUGUAAAGCACUUUAAGUUGGGAGGAAGGGCAGUAAGUUAAUACCUUGCUGUUUUGACGUUACCAACAGAAUAAGCACCGGCUAACUUCGUGCCAGCAGCCGCGGUAAUACGAAGGGUGCAAGCGUUAAUCGGAAUUACUGGGCGUAAAGCGCGCGUAGGUGGUUCAGCAAGUUGGAGGUGAAAUCCCCGGGCUCAACCUGGGAACUGCCUCCAAAACUACUGAGCUAGAGUACGGUAGAGGGUAGUGGAAUUUCCUGUGUAGCGGUGAAAUGCGUAGAUAUAGGAAGGAACACCAGUGGCGAAGGCGACUACCUGGACUGAUACUGACACUGAGGUGCGAAAGCGUGGGGAGCAAACAGGAUUAGAUACCCUUGUAGUCC
rnacentral:rRNA from 1 species